UAAUACAAUAUAUUAUAAUAUUAGUAUAGUAUAAUAUUAUUUUUAUUGGUAUUUAUUAGUAGUAUUAGUAUUAUCUACCUGCUGUAUCCUGUUGGUCGAGCCCUUGCUUUGCGUGAAAAGAGAUUCAGCGUGUGCUGUCUCGGAAUAAGGCUGUCUUUUCAUGCAUCAUGGAACAAUCCUAGCCAUGACAGCUAUAACCCAUCUCUAGGGUUUGAAGAAAUACCUGGCAUGGGUUAUGGGCCCAUCCUCACAAAUACCCGACAUUGGUUAUGGGCCCAGCCUCAACCCUGCAAGUACUACCAGUAGUAGUCUCUCUAACCCAGGCAUGGGCAGAGAGUGUUAUUUGAAGCAUGUGAUUGCCUGUGUAGGAAACAGGAUGCGGGACUAAGUGGACUUCGAUCCAGUCGUGUCUGUCAAGCGUCUGGCAGAGACUCUUGUUCUUGGCAUGUGUUGGGACCCAUAAGGCAAUUACCAUGCCUCUAUCAAUACGUAUAUUAAUGUGUUCCCAUGAGUCAUAGUUAAACUGUAUGAUAGUCCUCUCUAGUACAUUCUCCAGAUCUCUUGAACAACACUUGCCAACCGCGUCAAUUUGUGAGUGAUGUUGUUAGGAAUCGUGGGAUUGUUGUGCAACCGUUCUGGAGCGUGUUGGGUUGGGAAUGAUUUGGGCGUUGUAUCUCACGUAAAACCUAGCCACUUUUGGGGUGUUUAUGUUGGAUAAAAUGUUAUUUAUACACAUAUUAAAAGUGAAAAUAUGUUUGGGGAGGUUUGGGGAGAAUUCACCAUGAUUUAUACCAGUUAAUCAUCAUCAUCAUCAUCUUUAUUCUUAUACCCCGCUCCAUCUCCCCGAAGGGACUCGGGCUGGCUUACACAGGGACAGGCCCGAACAACAAUGCAACAUAGCAUUGCAUGUAUAAAACUUAACAGCAACUUAAAACAUUCCAACAAUAAACAAAAAUGACAUAACAAGACAAUUACCGUAUAUACUCGAGUAUAAGCCGACCCGAAUAUAAACCGAGGCACCUAAUUUUACCACAAAAACUGGGAAAACUUAUUGACUCGAGUAUAAGACGAGGGUAGGAAAUGCAGCAGCUACGGGUCAAUUUCAAAAAUAAAAUAAAUAUUAAUAAAAUUGCAUUAUUUGAGGCAUCAGUAGGUUAAAUGUUUUUGAAUAUUUAUAUAAAACUAUAAUUUAAGAUAAUAAUAAGAUUUUAAUAAGAUAAGACUGUCAAACUCUCAAUACCUAUAUACUCAAGUAUAAGCUGACCUGAAUAGAAGCCGGCCAGGACCCUCACUCGAGUAUAAGCCGAGGGGAGCUUUUUCAGCCCUAAAAAAGGGCUGAAAAACUAGGCUUAUACUCGAGUAUAUACAGUAUAUAAAAAUGUAAUGUUUGUUUUACUAUGGAGUAAACAACAAAACCAGUGAACCAAAUCACACCAAAUUUGGCCACAAAAGACAUCGUCAUCCAAUCUAUGUCUUUCAAACAAAAAACCUAGAAAAAGAAAGUCCAAAUUAGAGGACGAGGAAGAGCCGUUUUCAACCCUGGCUACCGGUCAGAAGGGUAGGCCCUGUGGCUAACAAAGGAUUCCCACAAGCCACAGCAACACGUGGUCGGGCACAGCUAGUAAUCUAUGAAAACAAAGAUACCCCAUUUGACGUAAAAGAGCUGGCUGGAUGGAUUGCUUGGGUUCUACACACAGGCUGGCCUUCUGCAGUUGGUGACACUGGGAUAACCUUGUUUUGUAGCACAGCUUGUAAUUUGUUUAACCUCCUCUGACUUGCUUAUCAAGUAUGUUUUGGACGGUUCCUGACUAAGCGUGAGUCGCACACUCUCCGGCAUCGUCACCUUAACUGAGUCAGCACUCAGGCUCUUGUUUGCCAACCUGGGAACCCAAUAGAUACGGCUCCGGCUUUUAAUACACUGGACCAAAUUUGGCACAAAGACCCGAUACGCUCAGAUUUGAACACUGGCAAAUGAUUUUGUUAUUUGGGAGUUGUAGUUGCUGGGAUGUAUAGUUCACCUAAAUCAACAAGUCCACCAACGAUGGAACGGGACCAAACUUGGCACACAGAACUCCCAUGACCAACAAAGAUACUGGGAGGGUUUGGUGGGCAUUGAGUUUGGGAGUUGUAGUUUGGGAGUUGAGAAGGGUGGGAUAUAAAUGUUGGAAAUACAUUUUUAUUUAUAUACAGUAGAGUCUCACUUAUCCAACAUUCACUUGUCCAACGUUCUGGAUUAUCCAAUGCAUUUUUGUAGUCAAUGUUUUCAAUACAUCGUGAUAUUUUGGUGCUUAAUUUGUAAAAUCAUAACCUAAUUUGAUGUUUAAUAGGCUUUUUCUUAUUAUCCAACAUAUUCGCUUAUCCAACGUUCUGCCGGCCCGUUUAUAUUGGAUAAGUGAGACUCUACUGUGUGUGUGUGUGUGUGUGUGUGUGUGUGUGUGUGUGUGUGUAUAUAUAUAUAUAUAUAUAUAUAUAUAUAUAUAUAUAUAUAUAUAUGGAGCCCCUGGUGGCGUACCAUUUCAAGCGCUGAGCUGCUGAACUUUUGGACUGAAAGGUCGCCAGUUCAAAUUCGGGGAGUGGGGUGAGCACCAACUAUUAGCCCCAGCUUCUGCGAAGCUAGCAGUUCAAAAACAUGCCAAUAUGAGUAGAUCAAUAGGUACCGCUCCGGUGGGAAGAUGACAGCACUCCAUGCAGUCAUGCCAGUGAACUUGGAGGUGUCUACGGACAACGCCGGCUCUUUGGCUUAGAAAUGGAGAUGAGCACCAACCCCUGGAGUUGGACACGACUGGACUUCAUGCCAGGGAGAAACCUCUACCUAUAUGCGUGGUGUGUGUGUUCUCAGUCCGGUUUUUCUGCUUGGCUUGCUCUCUGGAGUCAGGCUGGAGUCAACAUUAUUUCGCCCGUUCUGUAGAAAGAGGUGACAUCAUCCUGCGUUGUCUGUGAUGUGAUGCAUCUGUGGGCAGGCGCAUUGAGCGGUAGGGAGCCUUUUUGAGUGUGAGCGGCCGGCACAACAUCCGCGGAGGAUGGGACGUGGUUGGAGCGGAGCUGCCCGGGCUGGACGUUGAGAAAGGCUUGCUUUAUUCUCCAAAGGAAUCCCGGAGCCGAGGUCGGGCAGUGUGGCCGCAUUCCAGGCAGAGGCAUCAAAGGCAAGGCUGGUCUGUUGGGUAGGAGAGAUGGUUCCCUGACUUGAAUUGGGAGUAAAAUGGAACUGGGAGUAAGAAGGUUUCCUUCAAUGGAGCGGAGAAACCAGGAAUGUUUGGCUCUUAACACUUGAUCAUAUCUGAAAAAUAUGCACCACGAUAAAGGUUCAAAGCAUAGAACACAAUAUGUAUAUUAGAGCAUCAUAUACAUAAUAAUGUUAUGUGUUUUAAAUGCAAUUUUUAUCUUGUAUUUUUGUUUUAAUUGAUAUAUUGUAUUACUGUUUUAUCUUUUUAUAGUGUGAUUUGUAUUAUGUUGCCUAUGUUUUGUUCUAUGUUGUUUGGGCCUUUGCCCCAUGUAAGCCGCCCCGAGUCACCACGGGGAGAUGGUGGCGGGGUAUAAAUAAAGUAUUAUUAUUAUUAUUAUUA